rnacentral:rRNA from 1 species
UGGGGAAUAUUGGACAAUGGGCGCANNCCUGAUCCAGCCAUACCGCGUGGGUGAAGAAGGCCUUCGGGUUGUAAAGCCCUUUUGUUGGGAAAGAAAAGCAGUCGAUUAAUACCCGGUUGUUCUGACGGUACCCAAAGAAUAAGCACCGGCUAACUUCGUGCCAGCAGCCGCGGUAAUACGAAGGGUGCAAGCGUUACUCGGAAUUACUGGGCGUAAAGCGUGCGUAGGUGGUUGUUUAAGUCUGUUGUGAAAGCCCUGGGCUCAACCUGGGAAUUGCAGUGGAUACUGGGCGACUAGAGUGUGGUAGAGGGUAGUGGAAUUCCCGGUGUAGCAGUGAAAUGCGUAGAGAUCGGGAGGAACAUCCAUGGCGAAGGCAGCUACCUGGACCAACACUGACACUGAGGCACGAAAGCGUGGGGAGCAAACAGGAUUAGAUACCCUGGUAGUCCACGCCCUAAACGAUGCGAACUGGAUGUUGGGUGCAAUUUGGCACGCAGUAUCGAAGCUAACGCGUUAAGUUCGCCGCCUGGGGAGUACGGUCGCAAGACUG